AUCUGCACUUUAUAAUAAAAAAUAAAGGCGAAAUAAAAAAGAAAAGUCAAGAAAAAAAAUUCGAAAUAAAAAGGUCAUCGUCGAGGUGAAAUGGCUGCAAGGUACCGGAUAUGACGACGAAGCGACACGUCCUAUUAUGCCUGGCAGGAGGAGCCAGUCGUCCCAUCUGAUAACCUUUCCUUCUCUCCAUCUGUAAUAUCGAAAAAGAAGCGCCGGCAACUCUCCAAAAACUCUGCUGUGGGCAAAAACAAACAUUUGUACACGUUGCACAGACCGAUGCGCUUGGAUGAAACACGCGCUCAGGUUUCCUGCUGCCCUUUUUCUCCGUGAUGCGGGCAAGAGAUCGAAGACGUCGCCUCGUUUUCACAUGUAAUUCACUCAACAACCAAGUCAGCGCCCAGCAGCGAUUUCUUUUUAUUAUUUUCACAGUUUACACAAAUUUGGAGAGACGAGCAGUUUAUUGUUUGACGCCGCGUUUCGCACACUCUUCAUCAUCAUGCCAAAGUCGUUAGAUUUCCCUUAACGAUACAAUAAUAUCGCAGCAUUGUGUAGAGAAGAGGAAGAAAAAGAAGGCCCAGCAGCGAGACUGGGAAGUUACGACUAUGGAAGCGAGUGCUGAGGUCGUUUGCGCUGCCUAAACGAUGAUGGAUCUUUUCUUGGAGCGGAGGAGAAAAUGGGCGAGGCGGAUGUGUGAAAGGCGCUUCAUCUUUGAAUAAACACAGAUAUGUUGUACUACUACCCUCGCACUAUCCCUGUGCUCAUCAGAAAUAAAACAAAAC